rnacentral:rRNA from 1 species
GACGAACGCUGGCGGCGCGCUUAACACAUGCAAGUCGAGCGAGAACCAGGGCUUCGGCCCUGGGGACAGCGGCGAACGGGUGAGUAACACGUGGGUAAUCUGCCCUCGGCACCGGAAUAGCCCGGGGAAACCCGGAUUAAUGCCGGAUGGCCCCUUCACCUCGCGAGGUGUCGGGAAAAGGUAGCUUCGGCCUCUGGCCGAGGAUGAGCCCGCGGCGGAGUAGCUUGUUGGCGGGGUAACGGCCCACCAAGGCGAAGAUCCGUAGCUGGUCUGAGAGGACGAUCAGCCACACUGGUACUGAGACACGGCCCAGACUCCUACGGGGGGCAGCAGUGGGGAAUCUUGCGCAAUGGGCGAAAGCCUGACGCAGCGACGCCGCGUGAGGGAAGAAGGCCUUCGGGUUGUAAGCCUCUUUCAGGAGGGACGAAGCUACUCGGGUGAAUAGCCCAGAGGGUGACGGUACCGUAAGAAUAAGGAUCGGCUAACUCCGUGCCAGCCGCCGCCGUAA